ACGGGUGAGGAAUACAUCGGAAUCUACUUUUUCGUGGGGGAUAACGUAGGGAAACUUACGCUAAUACCGCAUACGACCUACGGGUGAAAGCAGGGGACCUUCGGGCCUUGCGCGAUUGAAUGAGCCGAUGUCGGAUUAGCUAGUUGGCGGGGUAAAGGCCCACCAAGGCGACGAUCCGUAGCUGGUCUGAGAGGAUGAUCAGCCACACUGGAACUGAGACACGGUCCAGACUCCUACGGGAGGCAGCAGUGGGGAAUAUUGGACAAUGGGCGCAAGCCUGAUCCAGCCAUACCGCGUGGGUGAAGAAGGCCUUCGGGUUGUAAAGCCCUUUUGUUGGGAAAGAAAUCCAGCCGGCUAAUACCUGGUUGGGAUGACGGUACCCAAAGAAUAAGCACCGGCUAACUUCGUGCCAGCAGCCGCGGUAAUACGAAGGGUGCAAGCGUUACUCGGAAUUACUGGGCGUAAAGCGUGCGUAGGUGGUUGUUUAAGUCUGUUGUGAAAGCCCUGGGCUCAACCUGGGAACUGCAGUGGAAACUGGACAACUAGAGUGUGGUAGAGGGUAGCGGAAUUCCCGGUG
rnacentral:rRNA from 1 species